UACAGAGGUCUCAAGCGUUGUUCGGAUUCAUUGGGCGUAAAGGGCGCGUAGGCUGCAAGGUAAGUCGGGGUGUGAAAUCUCAGGGCUCAACCCUGAAACUGCGCUCGAUACUGCUCUGCUUGAGGACUGGAGAGGAGACUGGAAUUCACGGUGUAGCAGUGAAAAUGCGUAGAUAUCGUGAGGAAGACCAGUGGCGAAGGCGGGUCUCUGGACAGUUUCCUGACGCUGAGGCGCGAAGGCCAGGGGGAGCAAACGGGG
rnacentral:rRNA from 1 species